CCUGAUAUGGUGUAAUGGUAACAUACCCUCUCUUCUAGAGAGGGAUCCCGGGGUUCGAUUCCUCGUAUCGGAA